rnacentral:misc_RNA from 1 species
AGGGCUUUUCCAAUCAGAGGCGUCGAAAUACUCAAUAUUGUAACUCUGUAAGUUGAUUAUUCUUCCUUCUUUGCGUUCAUAGUUAUUUUCCGGAUUGGCAUCUCUUCAAUAUUCAUUGAGCUGAAAUGUGAUAAGAGUAAGGAACCUGUUCAGGGGAAAUAAGCAGAAAAAUGGAAUAGAGAAAAAGAAUAUGUGGGGAAAAAGAGAGAUUUUAUUCAAAAUGAUGUCAAGAGUCCAGGUGGAUACAAGUAAUCUGGAUCAAUCAGAAUUCACUCUUCUCGCACCCCAGCAGUAAUGAUUACUGCCUUCAAGCUCAAACAAAGCUGGAAAAUUACAAUUUAAAAUUCCCUGCCUUACCUCACUAUACCUUAUGCUUUUAAUAGCCCUCUCAAGCACCUGGCAUCACAUGUCCCUCCCGAAUUUGAGCUAACCAAUUGUUGCUAGACUGGACGGAAUCUCCUAGUUCAUUCUUGCUCAUUCCAGAAGCCUCUAGAUCUUUCUUGCUUCUUCUAGAGUAAACCACCCAAGUCCUUUUAGCCCUUUCCUUUGGUUCUGGUGAACCCUCUUUUGCGCGACAAAAUGGCAUUUUGCCUUUCCAACCUUUUUAUGAUUUGGCCUAUGCUUGAUCCAGUAUUGCCUGAUCCAUGGUUUGCCAUGUAUCGUGGUAUGGGUAUGGUUCUCAAUGUUUCAUGGUGUGGAUAUGGGUACGGGAUAAGGUAGGGUUGACUUAAUUAACACGCAAUAUGGGAUCACUAUGAAUUAUAUGCAUGAAAAAUAUACAAUUCAAUGCAAUUAUUUUAUAAACUUUAAAUUAUAUGUAUAUGUAAAUUCAAAUAGUAAAAGCAAAAAAUUCAGUAAUUCUAAUUCGUCUUGAUUUAACUUUUAAUUUAUUGUGAUAAAGCAUAUUCUUUUAUAGAAUUCGCCAAUUUAAGUGUUUAGGCAUGUAAAAGAAUCGUGUUUGGAUACAAAGAGUCAGAAAUGUGAUACAAGGUCAGUAGGAGUGAUUUAGGUAACACCGUUUGAUCAAGUCCAUUUGAAGUUGGCCUAGAAAUUUUUUAAAAUUUUCUGUUAUGUUAACAUUCUUUUUUGUGUUUUGUAUUUUCCCAUUUUUUGUAGUAUAUUUGCUGUUACAAAAAUGAAUGCUUUAAUUUUAUUUUGAGCUUCACUUUUAUGGAUUUUUAAUUUCAAAAAGAAAUACUUAGAUUUGCUGGUGAAAUUUCGGUCUUUGGUGGUCAUUUGAUCAAAAUUGUUAGAUAUUGUAAUUACUAACUAAAAACAAUUGAGAUAUACUUCAAGUUUUGGUUGAU